GGCCACAACGGAUUAACAAACAAAUAUACCUUUAUAAUAAAUAUUAUUAUAGUCCGAAUCGUAUGCUAAAAAAAUAAACAAUACUUUUAUGGUAAAAAAAAAUGUUUUAUUUACAAGUUUGCCCUACGCGAUCUCAUAGAUAAAGAUAUCGAACAAUAAAAUAUGAGUAUUAGCCCAACUUUUUUCUGUUUGCCGGUGACGUUCAUUCUUAGAGAGAGAGAGAGAGGACAGAAGUUUUGUCAAAACGACAUCUUUACAUGCCUAUAAUGUUCGUGCUUAUUUUUCUUUUCUACAGCUCAACCAAGUAAAGCACUAGGCACAAGAAACUUACCGGAAGUUGGUCGGACGUUUGUGUCUUUUCCGUGGCCUGGGCGCCGUCCACCGGCUCGUUAACGCGGUCGUCGGCCGUAUCGUCUAUGUAACCCGCGUUGGCGGGCGGUUCGAGUGAUGGCCGACUUUCCUCGGAUGCCACGCAACUGUUUUGGUUUUUCAUAAUAAUAAUUUUACACACGUAUAACACUUGUGACAAAAUACUUGGAAAUCGCGGCCUACUGUGAAAUAACAACACUGCGACGGUACAACCGCGUGUCUUACCGUCAAGCCGCACUCAACAGUACUAGUGUGUUAUGUGACAGCUAUUAUCGACGGUGCAAGGUACGCAAAGUGUCGCCGGCCACGCGAGUCGUACCGUAAGCCGCACCGCCACCACCGCGACCGGCGUUCUUGCAGUUUCAAUACCUGACUUGUUUCUUGAUUUUUCGAUUAAAGUUUAAAGGUCGGCCGUUCCGUGGACUAUUGGAGCUAUUUCCUACACACAUUGUUGUUGAUUACAUCAUAAUACAGUUGUCGAUUAAUAUAAUUUUAUUGUCCCAAAAAUCACAACACAUAAUAUUAUAUUAUACAGCUACAGCGUGCACGACAAUUCCACGGUACAACCAUUUUUUAUGAUUUAAAACCAAUAAAUUGCUACGCGGAAAAAAAUGUUUUAAAUUAAAUCUUUAAUACUUGGGUCUGACAAAAAUUGGAAAACUUAUUACGAAUUUUAUAAACAUAAUUAACCCAAACUUUAUAAAAAAUAAAAAACUUCAAAGCUCAUUUAUGAAAUCAUAUUGAAACAUUUAGCCCCAAAGGGUACACAAAAUUUGUAGGUAUACACAUUUUUGUUUGUAUAAUUCUUUAAACUUAAAAUUUUGACGUUUGCACGUCAAUACUUCUGUCAUAGGUCUAAAAUAUUUCAUGAAAUCAAAAAAUCCUAAACAUUACAACUAACCUCGUCUAUAGAAAACAUCAUACUGUAUCAUGUUAUGCACUUAUGAAGACUGUAAAAUAUAAUAUGCCUUUUUGUUUAUUAGUCAGCGCGAAUGUAGUGCGUUCCGACAUAAAUCUUUAUUUAAUUAUCAUAGAAAAAACUCAAAUAACAAUAUAUGGUACCUGUAUCUAGCCUUUGGUGGUCGACGUGACAGUCACACUAUUAUCAACUUUAUAUUAUUAUACUUGUUUUGAAAUGUAAAACUUAUUUGUGUUAAAAUAGUCGUAAUUCCUAAAUAUUGUUAUUUCAGCAACAUUUAACACGUUAUGUAUAUAUAUUUUUUUUAUUGAAUUUUGCCUCAUCAUCUCUGGCAAUACAAUUUGUAUGUUUUUAUACGUUCGGGUGGACAAACUGAUACGAUAAAAAAACAAUAAUCUGUAAUAACAAUGUCUGUAACAAUAAUAAUAGCUCUAUGAUAGAAUACAGUCAUAAUACA